CAAAUAGAGGGUUUACUCAAUUCACCAUUUUCCAUUGCCGCUUUAGCAAGAUCCUGCAAUUGUGCUUUCUCAGUUUUGUUUAAGAAUUUCCUUAAUUUGCCCUUUGAAGUGACCAGUAAUUUUAUUCAAUUUCAUAAUGCAUUUUACAUUACAGAUAAUCAGGAAAGAUGGUAUUGAUGCAAUGCAUGAAGCACAUUUGCGAUACUCAUAUUGUGCUUUCCUUCAGAACCUUGGAAUUCGCUUGGACCUGCUAUAUAUUACUAUAGGAACUGCCAUGGUUCUAUUUCACCACUUCUUUGUGAGGAGAUGACAUGCAUGCCAU